rnacentral:rRNA from 1 species
GACGAACGCUGGCGGCGUGCCUAAUACAUGCAAGUCGAACGAGUGGCGAACGGGUGAGUAACGCAUCGGAACGUACCGAGUAAUGGGGGAUAACUGUCCGAAAGGACAGCUACUACCGCAUAUUAUUCGAGCGUCCGAUGUCUGAUUAGCUGGUUGGCGGGGUAAAGGCCCACCAAGGCGACGAUCAGUAGCGGGUCUGAGAGGAUGAUCCGACACACUGGGACUGAGACAAGGCCCAGACUCCUACGGGAGGAAGCAGUGGGGAAUUUUGGACAAUGGGCGCAAGCCUGAUCCAGCCAUGCCGCGUGUAUGAAGAAGGCAGUCGGGUUGUAAAGGACUUUUGUCAGGGAAGCGGUACCUGAAGAAUAAGCACCGGCUAACUACGUGCCAGCCGCCGCGGUAAUAC